UCUCCGUUGGUGAACCAGCGGAGGGAUCAUUACAGAGUGUCAAAACUCCCAAACCCUUUGUGAACAUACCACUGUUGCCUCGGCGGAGCUGCGCGGAAGCUACCCUGUAGCUACCCUGUAACGGCCUACCCUGUAACGUCCUGCCGGUGGACUUUUAAACUCUUGUUAUUUUAUAGUAAUCUGAGCGUCUUAUUUUAAUAAGUCAAAACUUUCAACAACGGAUCUCUUGGUUCUGGCAUCGAUGAAGAACGCAGC
rnacentral:misc_RNA from 1 species